AUUGAACGCUGGCGGAAUGCUUUACACAUGCAAGUCGAGCGGCAGCGCGGGGCAACCUGGCGGCGAGCGGCGAACGGGUGAGUAAUGCAUCGGAACAUGUCCAUGUCGUGGGGGAUAGCCCGGCGAAAGCCGGAUUAAUACCGCAUGUGCCCUAAGGGGGAAAGCCGGGGACCGCAAGGCCUGGCGCGAUUGGGUUGGCCGAUGUCCGAUUAGCUAGUUGGCGGGGUAAGAGCCCACCAAGGCGAUGAUCGGUAGCUGGUCUGAGAGGAUGAUCAGCCACACUGGGACUGAGACACGGCCCAGACUCCUACGGGAGGCAGCAGUGGGGAAUUUUGGACAAUGGGGGAAACCCUGAUCCAGCCAUUCCGCGUGAGUGAAGAAGGCCUUCGGGUUGUAAAGCUCUUUUGUCCGGAACGAAACGGUCAGGGUGAAUACCCCUGACUACUGACGGUACCGGAAGAAUAAGCACCGGCUAACUACGUGCCAGCAGCCGCGGUAAUACGUAGGGUGCGAGCGUUAAUCGGAAUUACUGGGCGUAAAGCGUGCGCAGGCGGUUUUGUAAGCCAGAUGUGAAAUCCCCGGGCUUAACCUGGGAACGGCAUUUGGGACUGCAAGGCUUGAGUGCGGCAGAGGAGACUGGAAUUCCUGGUGUAGCAGUGAAAUGCGUAGAUAUCAGGAGGAACACCGAUGGCGAAGGCAGGUCUCUGGGCUGACACUGACGCUCAUGCACGAAAGCGUGGGGAGCAA
rnacentral:rRNA from 1 species